UACGUAGGGUGCAAGCGUUGUCCGGAUUUAUUGGGCGUAAAGAGCUCGUAGGCGGUUUGUCGCGUCGGAUGUGAAAACCCAGGGCUCAACCCUGGGCCUGCAUUCGAUACGGGCGGACUUGAGUACUGCAGGGGAGACUGGAAUUCCUGGUGUAGCGGUGAAAUGCGCAGAUAUCAGGAGGAACACCGGUGGCGAAGGCGGGUCUCUGGGCAGUAACUGACGCUGAGGAGCGAAAGCGUGGGGAGCGAACAGG
rnacentral:rRNA from 1 species